AUUUAUAUAGUUUAAUUAAAACAUUAUAAUUUCAAUAUAAAAUUAAUAUAUAUAAUUUUUAAAUAUAUUUAUAAAUA
rnacentral:tRNA from 1 species